AAGUCGUAACAAGGUAACCGUAGGUGAACCUGCGGUUGGAUCAUUACAAAUUCUUUCAUUGCUCUUCGGAGCAAAUGAAGAAACAUAAUGUGCACCUGUAUUUGUACGUUGGCGGCUGUUCAGUGCUUUGUGCUGAACUUGCAUUAGAUUGCAAAGGCCGUCAAUAGUGUUUUUCACAGAAACGCUUUAAGAUUUUCCAAAACUAUUUUCUUUUUGUUUAUAACUUUUUCUCUUGAAAACCAAGAACAACUAUUAACAAUGGAUCUCUUGGCUCUC
rnacentral:misc_RNA from 1 species